UACGAAGGGUGCAAGCGUUACUCGGAAUUACUGGGCGUAAAGCGUGCGUAGGUGGUGAGUUAAGUCUGAUGUGAAAUCCCCGGGCUCAACCUGGGAAUGGCAUUGGAUACUGGCUCGCUAGAGUGCGGUAGAGGGAGGUGGAAUUCCCGGUGUAGCAGUGAAAUGCGUAGAGAUCGGGAGGAACAUCUGUGGCGAAGGCGGCCACCUGGACCAACACUGACACUGAGGCACGAAAGCGUGGGGAGCAAACAGG
rnacentral:rRNA from 1 species